UACGUAGGGUCCGAGCGUUGUCCGGAAUUACUGGGCGUAAAGCGCGCGCAGGCGGCUUCCCAAGCGCCACGUGAAAGCCCGGGGCUCAACCCCGGAAUUGCCUUUAAGACUGCAUCGCUUGAAUCCGGGAGAGGUGAGUGGAAUUCCGAGUGUAGAGGUGAAAUUCGUAGAUAUUCGGAAGAACACCAGUGGCGAAGGCGGCUCACUGGACCGGCAUUGACGCUGAGGUGCGAAAGCGUGGGGGAGCAA
rnacentral:rRNA from 1 species